UCAGAGGGAGGUAGAAUNCCACGUGUAGCAGUGAAAUGCGUAGAGAUGUGGAGGAAUACCGAUGGCGAAGGCAGCCUCCUGGGAUAACACUGACGUUCAUGCCCGAAAGCGUGGGUAGCAAACAGGAUUAGAUACCCUGGUAGUCCACGCCCUAAACGAUGUCGAUUAGCUGUUGGGCAGCAUGACUGCUUGGUAGCGAAGCUAACGCGUGAAAUCGACCGCCUGGGGAGUACGGUCGCAAGAUUAAAACUCAAAGGAAUUGACGGGGACCCGCACAAGCGGUGGAUGAUGUGGAUUAAUUCGAUGCAACGCGAAGAACCUUACCUGGUCUUGACAUGUACGGAACCCUUCAGAGACGGAGGGGUGCCCUCGGGAGCCGUAACACAGGUGCUGCAUGGCUGUCGUCAGCUCGUGUCGUGAGAUGUUGGGUUAAGUCCCGCAACGAGCGCAACCCUUGUCAUUAGUUGCCAUCAUUAAGUUGGGCACUCUAAUGAGACUGCCGGUGACAAGCCGGAGGAAGGUGGGGAUGACGUCAAGUCCUCAUGGCCCUUAUGACCAGGGCUUCACACGUCAUACAAUGGUCGGUACAGAGGGUAGCCAAGCCGCGAGGUGGAGCCAAUCUCACAAAACCGAUCGUAGUCCGGAUUGCACUCUGCAACUCGAGUGCAUGAAGUCGGAAUCGCUAGUAAUCGCAGGUCAGCAUACUGCGGUGAAUACGUUCCCGGGUCUUGUACACACCGCCCGUCACACCAUGGGAGUGGGGGAUACCAGAAGUAGGUAGGGUAACCGCAAGGAGCC
rnacentral:rRNA from 1 species